UACAUGGGGUGCAAACGUUGCUCGGAAUUAUUGGGCGUAAAGCGCACGUAGGCGGUCCGUUAUGUUGGAUGUGAAAGCCCUAGGCUCAACUUAGGAAGUGCAUCCAAAACUGGCGGGCUAGAGUAUGGAAGAGGGUCGCGGAAUUCCCGGUGUAGAGGUGAAAUGCGUAGAUAUCUGGAGGAACACCGGUGGCGAAGGCGGCAUCCUGGACCGGCAUUGACGCUGAGGAGCGAAAGCCAGGGGAGCAAACGGG
rnacentral:rRNA from 1 species